GACGAACGCUGGCGGCGUGCUUAACACAUGCAAGUCGAACGGAAAGGCCCUGCUUGCGGGGUACUCGCGAGGGGAAAGGGGGAGUAACACGUGGGUGAACCGCGCUGUACAUCGGGAUAAGACUGGAGGACUGGGGCGAUUAUAGGGUAUGGCAUUCCAUGCAGCGUGGGGGGUGGAGGGAUUUGUCGGUGUGGGAUGAGCCCGCGGCGUAUCAGCUUGUUGGUGGGGUAAUGGCCUACCAAGGCGUCGACGGGUAGCCGGCCUGAGAGGGUGGACGGCCACAUUGGGACUGAGAUACGGCCCAGACUCCUACGGGAGGCAGCAGUGGGGAAUAUUGCACAAUGGGCGGAAGCCUUAUGCAGCGACGCCGCGUGGGGGAUGACGGCCUUCGGGUUGUAAACCGCUUUCGACAGUGACGAAGCGUCGGUGACGGUACCUGGAAAAGAAGCACCGGCUAACUACGUG
rnacentral:rRNA from 1 species